AAAGAAUUCAAUGCAGUUGGCUACAGGGGAAUGAUAAAACCCCUAGUCCCAAAGACAAACAAAGUUGAGGUCAGGUCAUGUUUGGGAGCAUGUACUGGUACAGCACAUUGCCGCACUCACCACAUGACAAAACAGCUCAGGGUCCCAGUUGGCAACUCCCCAGGCAGACAUGCGGUCCAGUCCCAACCUUCUGAAAUAAAUGUCCAUCUGCUGCAGCCAACUGUUACAUGGGCAUCCCUUGGCCUGGUCCAACUGCUCGAGUCCUCAACAAUGAGGAUCCUGCAAGCUGGAUCACCCUGGGGGAACUGCGCCACAUGGCCUUAGUGCCAUAACUGAUGAUCCCUCACCAUACAGGUAAUUAGGGACUCCGUGAGCAACCACUUGUUUGAUACAAAGUCAAACCAGUGGUACCCAAGGUAUUUCUAAGAGACACAGUACCGAAUGAAUCCAGUCUUUGUCUCAUGUCACUGGACAGCCUCCAUGUCUCAACCAUAUAACAAAACAGGAAGCAUCAGGACUCGAAAGACUUGAAACUUCGUCCAUUUGCAAAGAUAUCGGGAGCACCACACACCCCUUUCCAGCGACCUCAUGAUGCGCCAUGCUCUUUCAAUCAUAGGAAGAGUCACUAGAGACAUGAAUGUCAGUUCCGUGUGACUGACCACAAUCAAGGAGAAGAAGCCAUACCUCAAGAAGGGAAGAGUCACAUUAUUGCCUGAGUGGCAAAAGCACAGCAAAGUUGUAGAGGAAGCUGUUAGGAAGACACCAUAGAAAAUGAAUCACAUGGCUGUAGUGUUAUACAGGGAUAUGCAAAGCAGAAAGGCAAAAACUUAAAGCAGAAGCAG